GGAGGUUCUCUGACUGAAAUGCUCACCAGAUCAGCAAAGUGAACCCUCUGAAACGUGAGCUAAUUCUCUUUUUAAUCCUUUUAGCUGCUUUUUCUCCCCCUUUUUAUCUAUGUCACUUCUGUCCUCACUCAACCCCCCUCCCUCCCUCCCUCCAUCCCUCUCUCUCUUUACUCUUUCUCCUUCCACUCUUUUUUCUGAGGGACGUGUCAGCAAGAGUUCUUGUUGAGCAGAGGAAGGUGAGGCUGGGAAGGACGAAGCUUCUAGGAAUUAUUGUGUGUGUGUAUGUGUGAGUUUACGUGUGUGUAAGCGUUGGCUAAGUGAAGAGGGUAAGUGUGAAGAGAGCUGACUGUGUAGGCUGCUCCUUUUCCUCUCUGUUUUUUCUUCAAGAAAAGCUCUGACAGCUGCAGGUUUGAUUUCUCGGGUUGUCAAAAGUCAUCUUUGUUAGUCCUCCGCUCCAAAUGAAUGGCAGCGGAUUAGGGGGGAAAAAAAGAGGCGUGUUCACACAUGGAGCCGUAGGUGGGCUUUGCCUCGAGUGGUUUCCAUAAAGAAAAAGGAAAAAAAAUCACACAACAUUACUCCAGGGGCCUCUGAAAGGAAAAAGAAAAUCGCACAUUACUCCAGAGGCACCCAUUGUCUUACCUACUAAAACCCAGCAUAUCAGAUGCCUACAGAUGCCCCCCCUCCUGCAUCUGCACAUAUAGCUGAGAGCCUGCAUAGAAAGAUACAAAUUGUCUCUCGUGCUGUGAGGUUGCUGGAACAUAAAUUGAGGGGAGAGGCAUUGUUGUCAGUGAGUAAUAUACUUAGCAUUAUUCAUAAAGAAGAGAGGAGAUUAAAAGAGGUUGGCUGGAGUUGAAAAAAGGCACUUGACUGCAGAGCUGACACAGCAGUUACAUAUGGCCUAAUGUUGGUACUUUUAUCGGCUGCAAUUGUCAGGAGAAUAUUUAUAUCCCUGAGGUUGUUUCUACUGUGCACGGCUUUGAAGUGAUAUAGAAAAAAUAAAUGACUAGAAUAAUCGUGCAUCUCUAUCAAAUCUGACUCUAGCUGGUACAAACAACUGAGCUAAUUCAUUGCUGCUAAACUUUUGUGCAGCUGAUUGAAAUUGUGGUAUUGAUUUUAUGUUUCACCAUUAAAGUUCUUGCAUUUACUAUUUGGUAUUAGAUGUUUUUUUUUCUGUUUAUUUAGAUCAAACAAAUUUUAAACAGUGUACAAUACUGUAAAACAUGCCCACAUUUUAUUAGUAAUAAAAGAUUUUUAAUAAAAUCAAGCAAAUCGUAAGUAAGUCAUUCAUGGUUUUACAUAUUUUCUGCUUGUUUUUUUUUAGGCUCACUUGUUUUGUGUGAUUUUUUUCUCUCUCUUUUAAAGGCACUGUAAGGAGUUUCAUGUUCUGCUCAUUCUGGUGAUCCCAUUGGACAAAAUCACUCAGAGACCGUUUUCAGGAAAGAGGACAACAUUUGCUAUAUGUUUUUUGUUGUAGAUACAGAUCAAUGAGACACAUCUCUUUAAUGACAACUUUUUAUUUAAGACAACUUUUUGGAGGAUGCAGUUAUUUAUUGAUUUUGAAAAAUUAGUGUGAUACAACAACAACCGUAAACUUUAGUUUAUAAACACUGGGUCGCAAAAAAAGUUAACACCAAUGUUGACAUUCUGACGGUUUGCCUCUCUUCCUGCUGCAAUAGAAAAGUCUCUACAGCAUCAUAUCCACAAAGAUCCAGGGAUUAUUGGAAAUCUAUACGGCUGUGUGAUCAUGCUCACGUUGUUUGUGAUCCAUCCAUCCAGCUAUGUGGUGCAUGUGUUGGCAGAGUGAUACUAUGCUAUGGCUUCAGUGAAAAAGUUAAAGUUGAAGAGAAUUGUUUUCAAACUAAUGUCUAUAUUUAAAAUCCAUUUAAAAUUUGAUGCUGAUAAACAAUGAUUAAUGGAUCAAGGGAUGCAUGCCCAGCUCUGUCUGCUUACCUUUCACUGCCAAACUAAACUGGCAAGGUCCUAAAUCACAUCUGAGCAGGUGCCAAAUAUUAUGUAAUUUUUUUUUUUUUCUCUGAAAAUAUGACCCAAACACAGGUACAAAAUUUACUGUAAAGAAACAGCCCAACUUGUCACUGAUAACCUCAUUGUACUAUGUAGGUCAUAAAAGGCAUCAGUAUAACAUUGAUGCUUCAUUUUUAAUCAGUUUAAAUCUUCUCACAGGGCGUAAAGACUCAGAAAACUCUGUAAAAGUUUAUUUUUUAAACUUUUUCUCUAGUAUCCCUCAAAAUGGCUGCAAUUAUCUGCUUUUGUGAGAAGUUAAUAAACUGUUUUACCUCUUUCUUUUUUUCGUCAGUGAAACCUUAACUUGUGCAAGUGGACCUUUAUAAUAUGACUUCCAGCACAGUCAGCUGGUCCCUGAAAGCAGCACCACUCAGAGGGCCCAGUAAUUCUGUUCUUGGCACCUUCCUUUUUUUCCCUCCAGAUCCCCAGGCUUCUCUUUUAAAACCUUAAGAAUAAAAACACAGAGAUUGUCCCUGAAAUUAAAUGUUUUCAUAAUUAUUCACGUGAGAUUCUUCUCAAAAGUAAAUCCCAACCUUGAGAAACAACUUGCCAAGCACUGUUGUGAAUGAUCCAAAAAAUCGGCACACUUUCAACCGUAAAAUCUUGAUUCAGCUCUCAAGGCUUGGUUCUGUCCUAUCAACACUCUAAAUUACUCCAACAUCUUACCCUGAACUAACCAGAGCCCUUUCUUCCCGCUGUCAUCAGUGUCAGCAGUAAAUUAAGCGGCGGGCUGAGCAACAACCCCUUGACUUUUAUUGAGGCUGGGGUCUAAUUAUAAUUCACUGGACCAGACCUUUUGUGUCACUGAGUGCUUCAUUUGCAGUUUGCAGUUUGCAUGAACCCCAGAGACAUUAACUCCGUCCCCUUCUACAUUCAUUACAAUGCUAUUAGUCUCUGCGAAUUGAUCAAUAUAUCAUGUAUAGAACAUCUUGAAUGUGGAUGUCUGGCUCUUUUGUGAGCCCGGAGAUAAUGGUUUCCCCAUUCAAGCCUGCUUGUAGGAACAUGGAGAUAAAGCAAAGCAGGGAAGAGUUAUUCCGCUUACAGCUAUAUGGAGAAGGAGGCUAUCUCAUCCAGAUUAUAAGUGGGUGAACUUAAAACGCAUAAAAAGGGACCGUUUAUGUAAGGAGGAGAGCAGCGCUGGAGGAGGGUGUAGAGAUCUGAAAGACUAAAAUCUGGCACUAUAGUACUUCUCCUCAGGUGUCCAAGAGAGAAGAAAUCACGUAUCCACUCUUCACAGAGCAGCCAGAGAGAGGAGUGAAGCAGUGCCAGACGCUAGUCCUCAUACAACUGAGGCAACAAUGUAUGGAAAGUAUGGGAGAGAUAAAAACUUCAAAUUAAUUUUAAUACUUUUCCCCCAUGAUCUAAAUGCUUUCCUUGAAACUCAAAGUCAUCGGAUCACCUUUGGUUGUGAUAAUCUUGUUCAACAUCAAAUAAAAAAAAGGGUUCAUUGAUUAAAAAAUGUGGGGAAAAGUCUAGAUACCGAGUAAGUCAGCUGACUUCAGUCUGUAAUAUUUUGGGCGUACCAGCAGGGAAGAGGUAACCUUUGCAAAUGGAUAAAACUGCAGUUCCUCGAUUGUCCACUUGGUAAUCGGUUCAUCCGUUUUUAACUCUUUAUAUGAGUUCAGUCAACAACACAGAGGAAAGAGUAAUGCUGUAGUUCUCUUUUAAAUUUACACAAUAGUUCAUACAUUUUAUACUGUCAAAAUGUGAUGAUUGGGCUAACAGAAGAGUCAAUGACAUCACUUCUUCUUGUACUACACUCUUACCUAUCAUAACACUGCUGAAUGCCUAUGUAGUAGUCAUCUGUCAGCAACUAUUAUGGCUGUCUAGUGGGGAUCUGUCUACACGUGUUAACUUGUCAAAAGUAAACAUACACACAGUCUGAGUAAAAAUCUGGGUCUCAUCGUAUUUCCCUUGAAGCACAUUCUGCUUCUACACAUAGUCUGUGCAUUGCGGUCCCCCUAGAGAAAGCAGACACAGAAGAUGGUCCAUGAUAACGUUUGUUAUUUGGGAGGAGAUUCGGUGCCUUCAUAGAAUCUCUAGAGGGCAGUAGUACAAAUGUUUUAUAUUCAGAGAAGACUUGCUUCAGCCUGUGAUAAGCAGCAGUGAUCCUAUUGGCAUGUGGGGGAGAGAGAGGUUUUUCAAAGAGGAAGAGGCUGCUCAGACAAACUGCAGUGGAGGCCUCCCUCUUAGGCACUUGGACUUCUUUGUGAUUACAGGAUGAGGGGACCACAGUCACACUAAAUACCCCUGUGCUGGUAUAGAUUAAUGUGGCUUUAAGAUGAGCCAAAUGCAUGCUAACAUCCCCAUGUAGAAGUUGAGAGGGUUUAAGGAGUUUAACCCUUUGAAUACUUCACCAUGACAGGAUGCAAACAAGUGGGCUUAGAAGUGUUUACACUUUAUUUUAUCACAUGUGGGACCAUGAAUCCUACUUUUUUAUUCACAGAAAAAUGCUAAAAAGAUAAUAAUUCAGGCCAUGAAAUCAAGUCAAGGGCAAAUGAUUUUCAGCUCAUAUUGUGUCACUCCUUUUUAUGCCGUAACAUCACCCUGAUUAAUAAUGAAGUAUCUGGAAAGCAGAAGCUACUUUUACCCCACUGGAGUUUUGACCUUUAAAGAUGUUGGCGUUAAAAAGAAUAAACAAAAGAAAAAAAAAACCCUAAAGCAUUCUGCUACAGCCCUAAGGCUUCCUCUGCAAAGACAUGCAUGAGGGACGAAGACAAACUCUAUCUGAUGUGCACAUACACACACAAAAACACGCCCGCACACACAUCUCUUGGCAGACUAACAGCCGUGGAGCCUGGGUUUGAAUUCACUCUGCGGUGGAGCGUUUAAAUGAGCUUUAAUUUAGCAUCCUGCUGGCUCAAUUGGGAUUGUAAUAGAACACAUUACACCUUGUCCUGCAACAGAAGCGCUCUCCCUUCCUCUCUCCGGGACUCGCUCUCCCUUUUCGCUCUCUCUCAGUCCUGGGAGAAUUGAUUUUUCCAAAUGCAGGGGAACAAAUCAAAGGACAGAAUGAUUGUGUGGCACAGAGUAACGGUAGACAUGACAUUGUAAUCAAUUUGACUAUUAACUCACCGAUGUUUUCCCCUACUCUACAAGAAUUUUUUAGACUAUUACGUAAUGAGUUAGUGACACACUACUCCUGUGGUAAUUACAAAUUUGUUAAACAAAAACAGGUAGCAGUGAGUUGGUGAAGCCUUUAAAGUUGCCAAAAGGUGACUUGUGGAACAUGCGUCGGCACUGAAGUAAUCAAGACACAAUGUAAUUGUUUAUUUGUGCAAUCACAGCCGGAAGCUCUUGUUCUGCGCUGAAUCAAGAGAACUAAAAAUGUCACUUAAGAGGGUCUGUCUCUCUCAUGUUGAAUUUCUGAUUCACUGGCACUCUUUUCUUCUUAGGAAACCUGCAACAUCAAUCAAAACACUGAGGUGACCUCCAUGUUUUUUGAAUCUCGAGACCUCAAAAUUCAUGCUCUCCAUUAUUCUUUUUGAUUUUUCUUCUCAUAUUAAAGAUACACUGUGUUGUCAUCAACCAGAGCAUAAUGUAAAAUUUCUCUACAUAUAUUUAAUUUAGAAAAAAAACAAAGCAAAAGCCAAAGUGUGUGUGAUACAGGUAAGAAACUCUGGGGUAGUCGAGUGGUCAAGGCUGACAAAGAGACUUUGGAACCCAAGUAGAGUUGCCAGCGUCCAUUUCCAGCCUGAGGCCCCUUUCUCCACAAUCACUCUCUAUGGUUACUCGCUCUAUCCACUGUCCUAUUCUCUCUGAAAAAAAGGAUAAAAGCCCCAAAAUAUAACGUUACUCUCUGGGCUUAAGUACACAAGUAGUUGUCACAUAACAGUAACUCUAAGACAGAAGUGACAACAUAGUGGGCCAUGUUUUAAGAGGGAUUAUGAAAUGUUAAGUCAUAGUACAAUAUGGAGAGGACAGGAAAGGGGAGGCAGCUGGUAAGAAGUCCCAGUAGUCCACAUCAUAAUCACUGAUUCCUUGAAUGACAAUGGUGUACCAAUGGCAGCAUCUACCAGGCUGCCAUUGCCUGAGAUCCAGAGGGUUAUCAUCAAACAGUAGGUCUACAGAACUUCAUACAUUUUACGUUAAGUUGAAAUUCACUCUUGAUUUCAACUGGGGUGCCGAGGGUCACUUGACUUUUCUUUGUCUAUGGAUACAAGCAGGACAAGUUUCUUUGAUCACUACUUUAAUGCAACUCAAACAAAUGGACUUAGGGCUCAAACUGGAGCAACAAACAUGGCUAAACAAAGCAACAUGCCAUCCGAAACCAAGAGUGACCCCACCCUCCAUCCAAUAUAACAACAAUAUAUCCAUCCUCUCCUGUCGAAAGAGCUCACCUUGACAGCUCCUCCAGUCGCCCUGUUCUAAGUGGAUGAUUAAAAAGAGAUGGAGGGGUUUUACUAGGGGCUGGUAUGCGUGGCAUCCCAAGAGCCCCUGCUCCAAGCUAGCCAAGCGGAGCGAGCUACAGCUGUCCUCCAAACAAGCCCUGCCAUCCUUUAUUUAUUUCUGCUGAAAUAUUGAUGCAUGUUAUGAAAGGUUUAAAAUAAUGUGUCUGCCUUCUUUUUUUUCCUUCGGCCCAGCACACUGUUUUCUAAUGCAUAAAUAAUUCUUCCCUCGGACGCUGCGUGGACACCAGCUCAGGCACAUUAGGUUAGGAUGUAUCACAUUCUUUCUGCCUGAGAGAAAAUACCCAUCCCUUGUAAUUUCCUACACUUAUACAAUCCACGUUGACAGUAAAUAAUUGAUGUAUGAAUUUAGGGCUAAAACUCCAACACAAUAUGACUUCAUGUCAAGGGUUAGUCCCUGCAGAUUUGAAGCCAAAUCAUCUCGCAAAAUGGAUUCUUCCUCCCCACAAAAGGGGGAUCCUCUUUGAGUCCCCACCUUUUAUUCCCCCCCUAAGCGUCCUCCUUUCCAAUAGAAAGAGGGGCUUGGAGCCCCACUUGAUGAGGUCUUGCUUUGCAUGGCUGGUGAUAACUGAGUGAUUUAGCCCAUUAUUAGCUGAGGAUGUGUUUUGUUUUUGAACACAAAUGGGUUUUCACACUGACAUGAACCCGCCUUUGAUUGUGUCAGAGAAAGAGUGUGAGCCGGGCACUGUAUAGGGAGUGCCCUCUCACUUCUCAUCUCAGUGUCUGUGUUGCGAUGUACAAUUACCCCUCCAAAUCUGCAGGCCAGAUCCAUUUAGGAGAUAAGAAGAGGAAGAGAAUGGAGACAAAAAGGUGAAUGGGGUGGAAUAAUAAUUUAAUCUCUGUGCUUCAAUUAACACGUAGUGGCCGGAACAGCUGCUUUCAGUGCUGAACAGUCAAACAUGUCAUUGGCAGGGGGUUGUACUACAAGAGGGGCACAAAAGUCCUUGAAUAAAAAUACUGCUUCUAGCUUGUAACAUGGUUUUGCUUAAAUGUCAUCAAACAACCUGAGAGAUAAUAUAAAUAACAUCCAGCUGGGAACUGGUAUUAUUACGUAACUGAGCACAUGGGCUUCACGCACUAUGUGGUAAAGUUCUCAGUUCAGCUCUUCUGACAAAAGCCAACAAAGACAUGGUUUUCUGGUGUGAGGUAUGUCAAGCAUCAUUCUACUCACCAUGCUUGGAAGGUUAUUGGGCAACCAUGAUUUGAAAUCAUAACAUUUAACAUGUUCAUUGAACAACCAGGAACCCCUUUUUGCUGGGGUUACCCUGUCAACUGAUAAGCGUGCACUCUGUGGGUUGUGGAGUGGGAUAGAACGAUAGCAAUGAGGGCAGCAAGUUGACAAGAGAACGACAACAAAUGCCACAGCUACAAUAGUUCACAGGAAACAUUAAUAUAGAUGAAUGUCAAACAUGAAGGACCAAGUGUGGGAACUCAAGCAUUCAUACUAAAUAUAAUAUACCACUUUACUGUAAGUCACUUUUUGCAUCAAGACAUUUUGCACCAUAUCCAGUUUUAAUUAUUGUGAACCUAGUGGUACAAGGAAUCUGUCAGUUUGUUCUGUGUUGAACAUCUUAUUACACAUCACACAUGAUGGGUAAAACGGUUAAAUCUGUUAUUUUCUCUCAAUAUUUUAGAAUUUCUCACUUAUAGACAGAUAAAACUUCAACAAAUGUGAUUUGAGUUCAUAAUCAAGCACAUAUAAGAGACGUGUUAUUUAGGGUGACCAUAUUCGGACUUCCCAAAGAGAGGACACAACUACGCCGGGGCGGAGAUGCACAAAGUUAAUUUUGAGAGUUUUUCAGGUCGAGUGUCUUUUAUGAGCUUCUAACUCAGUUAUUCCAUGUGACACAAACUUGAAACUUCCGUGCAAAACCACAGAUAUUUGAAGGAUUUUAUAAACUUCCCCGGACAGCCCGGACAGCGCCUCCCCACAAAAGAGGACAUGUCUGGGUAAAAGGGGAUGAAUGGUCACCCUAGUGUUAUUUUAUCACCUAUUCAGUAUAACAAAUGCCAAAGUGUACCAAGAAAUGACCCUGAAUUAGUUUUUACUUAGUCUAGCUAGGAUACUGUCUGUUGACUUGAGCUAACAAUUGAUACAAGCUGCUUGAGCAUGCACAACAAAAGUCUGCCCAGUUGAUCUCUUUCUGUUUAAAAGCCCACUGAAACCCCCCAAACUUAAAGGACUGCAGAUCUAUGGCCAAAUUUCAAGAUUUCAGCACUCUCUCAGUCAGGUUUGAGCACCAGAGUUACUUGAGAAGCAGAAUAUGAGACAAAAAUACACAGUCUGGGUUAUAAUAUUUAAUCAUUAUUGACAGUGGGUGUCACACAAACAUCUCUGAGAAUAAUUUGAAGUUUGUGAGGCAAGAUUUUUCUAUUACAUGGGAGGGUAUGUUACAGCACUUUUCAUGCUGCAGUCAGAGAAAAAAUGUUGAGUCCUGAAAAGAGAGAUUGCAAAGGAAAGUUCAGAAACUCACAAGUAAUCACACAAAAAGUUCUAUUAAAGUGUGACAUUGAAAUACGCCACAAAAUGUCUACCUAUACCUUUUAAAAUUUGCUGUGUAAAACUUUUCGCUGACACAAUGUUUGUAAGAAAAACCGUCUGUGUAUCUUCAAAUAAUGACCACAGAGUUAAUGUCUGUGUUUCUUGAGGAAGAAUUUUAGCAAAAACAACAUAGUGUUGGUCAGUUCAUGUAUUUUCAAAGUACAAUAUGAUAACACUGUUUUUUUGUUGUUGUUGUUUUUUCUGUUUUAUCUCUAUAACAUAAGCUUAAUAUACAUGUGACAGUGUAAAGGGAAAAUGUUGUUAUUAAUAUUUAUAUAUGUGUGUAAUUUUAUCAAUCCCCAGUGUGUGAAAACAACUGUGAAAAUAUGCUACAAGAAAAACAAUUAUCUCACAAAAUGCACCUGUCACCUUUUUUCACUACACUGUAAAAAAAUGUCAGUUGUUGAAGACGCUAACACUUUGAUACGCCCGACUCCCAGAGAAGCGUGAAAAGAUACAAAUCUGCCUGAGAUUGCCAUGGAGGCUGUGUAAUGAGGGCGAGGUAGAGGCAGAUACUGUUUUGAUAUGAGCUGGUCAGUCCUCACACCCUCAGGGGUUUUCUCAGACAUUUAUCGUGAACAGAAAUGACCUCAGGACCUGCCCUAACCUCUGAGGGACUCUUGGAUCAAUGACAUCUUUGCCUUUCCCCCCUCUUCCUCCACACCGCUGCACUGGCUUUAGGAACAAGAAGUGCUUCAGGCUACACACACACACACUCUGCCUGCCACACACUCUUUAGAUUGACAAGCAUACGUGUGUGUGUUUGUGUGAGUCCAGUCCCUCUAGUGUACCCUUGACCACCUUGCAGUGUAAUCACCACACACAGCUGCCACCUGCCUCUGUCUCUUUCUCUCAUUUUGUCUCUGCUCACCCCCUCCGACACUAUGACUAGUAUGAUCUCAACUCUGGAUCCUAAUGUCUCCAGCCAUGAUUAAUCUGAUAAAUAAUAAAUAUAUCAAUCUAGCCUCUCGACAAGGACUAAUUCUAACCAGCGGGAAGGCACGAGCCCCCUCUAAAUGCUGCCUGUAGCUGCCAAAUUAAUUAUUUAAUGAUUAAUUCUUUAGGAAAUGGGAAAGUUUUGAUUAAUACUGUCCAGGCAUCUGUCUUCAGUUGUUUGAUGUGUGUCAGAUAUUCAACCCUUGCUAUCUCUCUAUUCGACCUUUAAACACACAGGCACACACGCCCCUGCGAUCAUGCAUAUACACACACCUGGAGUGGGAAGAGAGACGUUUCGGUUCUUAUGAAGGAAGCCAGAGGCUACUGUCACUGAGAUCAGAUGCUGAAUAUCUCACAAUAAAUUACAGCUGACUCUCAGAGGCCCUCAUCCUUGAACCUUGAACAUGUCAGCUCUGGAUAACCCCCACACACAGAUACACAAACCUCUUUAUGUGUGUGUGUGUGUGUGUGUGUGUGUGUGUGUGUGUGCACAUAUGAGUGAGUUUUCAACCCUAUUUACUAAUGGAAGCCUCUGAGGCCCCUGAGUCGCUAUGCAUUUUUAAUGAUGUCAAAUUGUCAUUUCGCUGCACUGUUUGCUGUUCAAAGGAAGAGGAACAUUGGAUCAAACACAGAUGUAUUAAACUGUGUGUAGACACAACAAAGAACCAAAAAAAAAAAAAACGAUGAAGAUUACAAAACACAAGUUGUUUAUGCUAAGGUACAAGAACUGAAGACGACAUGUAGCUUCACAGCUCUAAAGUUACUCCUCAGAAAAAAAAAACGUAUAAGCGCAAAUACAGCAAAGUUGUUUUCUUUGUUACUUUAAGUCAAUCAACUUGAUUCCAAGUUAAUGCGACUAAAUACUUUGACAACUGUGCAGCCCAUGAAGUUAGAAGUUUUUUUCAGCAAAUUAAAGCUCCUUUGAGGAGUCUUUGAAAUUUACAGAUUGAUUAUUACAGACUGAAAUUCAUAUUCAUGUCUUUUUAUGACAUCUAAAAGCAAAGAAGACCAUCUCCUACAAGAGUGCCCACUGAAUGUUGUCAUUUUUAAUGCCAGUAUGAGGGAGUAGGUGUCAGCCAAGAAGCAAAAGAAACAGACCUGCAGACUCGACUCUUAUGUUGGCAGGAAGAGUCCAAACCGGUUAUCUUGAAACUAAAAGGUUGUGUCAUUUAAAACUGUAUGAUCAUAAAAAAUUCUGUGACUGUUCAUGAAUUAUUAAAACUUAACUGCAUAAACAAGCCUUUGUUUACCGUGAAAAACAGACAAAAGCUUUGCAUCACAGAUACCAUGUAUGACACAAAACUUUCAGGUCAGAACUUACUCAAAGUUGUUUAAAGCAUUUUGGGAUUCAGUUUCCGUGUUGUAAUGGAGCAUGAAAACAAACACAUCGCCUCCAUACCUGUUUUGUUUUACCUGUACGAGCAGUGACUCAUUGUGCAUGUUUGUAUCUGAAUAUUGAGAUAGGAUGAAAUAAAAAUCAGGAGCUUAAAAUCCUGUAAAACAAUCUGAGUGUUUAUAACUGAGUGAAUUAGAGUGACAUUGUGAAGAACAAUGUCUCCUCUCUAUGUAAUUCUUCACUGUUGUAUUUUUUUAAUCAUGAUAUGGCUUCCUGUCCCCUCUCACCCUUUGUGAAAGGCGAACUUGCCCUCGGGGUGAGGGGAGCAGACCUGCCUUUAAUAGGGCCAACAACUUGACAAAUCUCACUCUGUCUUCCCCACAGAAACACACACAAGGAUACAAACACACACAGAUGUACACAUAAAUAAACCACACAUGGUCUCAGCUGAUGCACAGCGCUUGCAAACACUGACAAAUGCGUGCACACAAGCACCAAAAAUGAACAUUUCCGUUGGUGAGAAAGACAUGGGGCCGGUGACUCCUCGUCAGAGUGACAGCCCCCAUUGUCCGAGCUAGCUUUGGUGGUUGUAACAAGCAUUGGGACAUUUGAGCAAACAAAAGCAGGAUUGGGAGUGUCAUCAAUCAAUCGGCUGACAGUUGACUCAAGUUUGUUUGUCCCACACGCUGCAUAAUAAGUGAUUGGAUCUCAGCUAAUUAGAUAUUGGGUAAUCAAUCAUUGCCAACAAGGCACUUGGCUGGCUGACGGGGACUCUCCCUUUGCGUGUGCCCGUUGUCAUGAAAUAAAUUAGAAAUAAAAAUUAUUUAGUGCCAGCCAAAAGGUAAUUCCCACCAGUGAGCCGUCCAAGCACCGCCUUUGUGCAAAAGAGACACAUGGAGCAAGGGAGGAGGGAGGAGGAGGGGGGUCUCAUGUCCUAACCAAUUACUGAAAAAUUCAGUUGAGGAAUUUACAUAAUAAAUGAAGCAAUGAAAAAUUGAUAUAUUUGCUUGGAAUGAUGUUUUACGCUGCACAAACAUGCAUCUGACAAUGUGUCCACAUGGAGGCAAUAGGAAAAACACUGUCACAUAAUGUACUGACUUUUAUAUAUGCAAAAUAAAGUCAUUAUUAUAUCCGAUUAGCAAUACUUAAUCAUUGAAAUGUGAACAUCGAUGCAUUAAAAGUUAAACUAAUUUUAAUCAUGUUAUUCUUUUCAAUCGGCCUAAUUUCAGGUGAUCUGAAAGGCUUACAGUUUUGAUCAUAAUGUGUAGUAGGUGGCAUGAUAUCAGGUAGCUUUCUCAGUCCCUCAAGCUUCAAAAUUACAUCUGAAACUCUUCUGAGAUCAAGCCACAGCCAUGAAACACACACACGGCAUUUGUAGUGUCACAGUUUGUUCCCACCUUCUCUCUUCACGCUGUCAAAAUGUCUCCCUCACGCCUUUUUUCUCUUUUUGAGCCCAACACUCCAGAGGUACGGUGUUUUCUCUUCGUACUUCUCCCUUCUUCUUCUGUUUUUUUUUUUUUUUUUUUUUCCAUCCUCAGGUAGCCACUGUAAGAUACACAUUGUGUGUCUCCGCUAACAUUGCAAGGGCACAAAACAUGCAGUUUGGGAAAUCACAAGGCACGACAGAGGAGGAGAGAACGGAGGGAGGAAAGGGGGAGAGAGACAGAGGGAGUAAGUGUGAAAACAAGAAUGUGAGGUAGAGGUACAAGCGAAAGAGUGAGAAAGAAGAAGAAGUUAGAGACAAAUGAGGGAAGAGAGAGCAAGAUUAUCGCUCGAGGUGAAGAAAACACUUCUUUAUUUAUUUAUUUUUGCACAAAGCCAGAGUGUAAGUAAGUAAAGCAGCCAGCUGGGCCUCCGUCUCUCAGCAGUGUGUCGGAGCCUGUCACCGCCGCUGCCACCGAGACAGCUACAAGUUUACAACAGCUGCCGACUAAUGUUUGAUCAGUGAUAAAAUAUGCUGGGGUGACAACAUCAUGCUGCCCAUGCAUUUGUGCGGGCUUUGCGCAUUAAAAAUUCAGAGCCUGGCAAGUAAGUAUGGAGGGCCCUGAUGGCCUCAGUGCUGCCGCUACGCCCGCUCUCCCUCCCCCCCUUUAAAGGUACACCCAGGGAUGGAGACAAGUUCACAAGAUGUCAGAAAGCAUUUCUGUUUUGUGUUCACAGGAUGAGCCUUCCUCGGAGUAAACCCGCCCUCACGUCAGCCUUUGUACUGGAGGACCACCGCUGAGACCGUCAGCGCCACACAGGCAGAGAAGAAGAAUUCAACAGGAAGUAGCAGACAGCAGUGACGCUGGACAAAUUGGGGAAAUGUGGAUGACAUGUAACAAGUCGCAGAGAAAGAUGACUGAGAAAAAGUGGGAAGUAGAAGAACUACAGCGCCAGAGUUUGUUGAACAGCAAAAUGGAGACAAGUAACUUCCUCUAGCUGCACUCGUACUGUCCCCAUGCUCAACAUACUUUAAAAUAAC